rnacentral:rRNA from 1 species
GUGGGGAAUAUUGGACAAUGGGCGAAAGCCUGAUCCAGCCAUGCCGCGUGUGUGAAGAAGGUCUUCGGAUUGUAAAGCACUUUAAGUUGGGAGGAAGGGCAGUAAGUUAAUACCUUGCUGUUUUGACGUUACCGACAGAAUAAGCACCGGCUAACUUCGUGCCAGCAGCCGCGGUAAUACGAAGGGUGCAAGCGUUAAUCGGAAUUACUGGGCGUAAAGCGCGCGUAGGUGGUUUUGUAAGUUGGAGGUGAAAUCCCCGGGCUCAACCUGGGAACUGCCUCCAAAACUGCAUGACUAGAGUACGGUAGAGGGUAGUGGAAUUUCCUGUGUAGCGAUGAAAUGCGUAGAUAUAGGAAGGAACACCAGUGGCGAAGGCGACUACCUGGACUGAUACUGACACUGAGGUGCGAAAGCGUGGGGAGCAAACAGGAUUAGAUACCCCAGUAGUCC